AUUUUAAUAGUUUACUCUGAAAUAUUAUGUAUAGAACGUAGCACUGAAGAUGCUAAGGAAGCAGACCGGUCUGAAAACA
rnacentral:tRNA from 1 species